GACUCUCGGCAACGGAUAUCUCGGCUCUUGCAUCGAUGAAGAACGUAGCGAAAUGCGAUACUUGGUGUGAAUUGCAGAAUCCCGUGAACCAUCGAGUCUUUGAACGCAAGUUGCGCCCGAAGCCAUUAGGUCGAGGGCACGCCUGCCUGGGUGUCGCA
rnacentral:rRNA from 1 species